rnacentral:rRNA from 1 species
AACGAACGCUGGCGGCGUGCCUAACACAUGCAAGUCGAGCGCGAAUAGGGGCAACCCUUAGUAGAGCGGCGCACGGGUGCGUAACACGUGGGUAAUCUGCCUGGAAGCUCGGGAUAACUAGCCGAAAGGUUAGCUAAUACCGGAUAAGCCCCCGGGGACUUCGGUCCUUGAGGGAAAAGAUGGCCUCUGUAUACAAGCUAUCACUACCAGAUGAGCCCGCGGCCCAUCAGCUAGUUGGCGGGGUAAUGGCCCACCAAGGCAACGACGGGUAGCUGGUCUGAGAGGACGAUCAGCCACACUGGAACUGAGACACGGUCCAGACUCCUACGGGAGGCAGCAGUGGGGAAUUUUGCGCAAUGGGCGAAAGCCUGACGCAGCAACGCCGCGUGUGUGAUGAAGGUCUUCGGAUUGUAAAGCACUUUCGACCGGGACGAAACUCCUUCACCUAAUACGUGGGGGCCUGACGGUACCGGGAGAAGAAGCACCGGCUAACUCUGUGCCAGCAGCCGCAGUAA